AGAACUACUCCACCAUCAUCUGAUGUGGUUCUGAUGGCUGUGUGUUUCUCAGCUUUAUCCUCAGCCUGUGGGUAAUUUAAAAUAAAUACUUUUGCAAGUGAACCAAUAGAAAUAUUUCACUGUCAUUGGGCAGAAAGCUAAAAACCUAAUUACGGUAUGUAUUGAACAAUUUUUGUGUUAGUUUCUUCACUCUUUCCAUAUCUUUGUUCACUUUAUUUAACAUCCACCAUUUCUCCCCUCACAUAGUCAUACACUGGCAUUUUUUUCUUCAUUUCAUUGAAGAAAAUGAUACUCUGUUACACAAAUCUGCUCCCUAUUUCUUUUGAAACUGUAUUCAGUCAGUCCCCAUAGAAAGAAUAGGUAAUGAAAUUCUAUCUCUCAAGUGUAUGUAGACAUAUCAAUCACUUUAAGUGGAAACAAUCAUUCCUCUGCCAUUUGGAGCCAACAUCUUUGAACAAAGCAGCAGCACCAUUGCUUUCUGUUGCUAAAAAUAGUUUUUCCAUAAAAUGCUAAGGUUUACCUUCCAACCACAUGCCACAGAGGUCAAGAAAAGCAGAUUUCCUGAUAACAUUUGAUUUGAGCAAAGGGAGUGAUAAAAGAUGCGUUCUGUAAUCUGGAUUCAAAGCCGACUGAAGACGUGGAGUCCAGUGAAGAUAAUCGAGCAGACCUGUGCUGUCACCCUGCUACCAUUCCAUGAUCUCUGCCCUGGGAAGAGGAAGUAAGUAUGGUUGGAAGAGGUGGAGUCUGGUGCUGCCAGAGCAGAAAGCACAAAGAAGAACGUGCUUUUAGGUGGGUGCCCUAAGAGACAUGAUAAGUGAAAAAGGCCUAGAUGCCCCAAAUUGCAAAAGUAAUGAAAAAGACCCAGUGAUAAUAAUGCGAUUGGAAAGGAAGACACUGAUUUCUCACAUGACUGUGGCAAACUGUGAAGAGUGAAAAUUCCAGAAGACUUAAAUUGUCUAUAGUUUUGGCAUCUCUCCCUCUAUGUACUUGCUAUCUUUUUUUUGCUUUUAAGUCUGCUUAGUUACAACUGCAGACCACAGUAAAAUUAUAGAUUUGGAGAUGUUGGAAUGUUUCCUCAAAGAUAAAAGCCAAUUAAAAAAAUUUUAACAAAGAACAGAAGAAGCAAUCAAGAGUUUGUAACAAAUUAUUAGGAUUAAUA
rnacentral:lncRNA from 1 species